GUGAAGGCAGGGAGGAGCUGACCUGUACAGGGCACAGCUGUGCCGGGUCUGCUGAGCUGUGCCCAGGUCACCAGGUGACAUUAGUGCAGCCUGCAGGUCAGUGCACAGCUGGGGGAAAAAGAGAUCCUGAAAGUCUCAGAACAGCUGCAAGGAAAUAUCAGCUCUUCAGAGGAUUCGCAGGGAGGGGGCAGUGUGGCAUGAUGGUUAAGAGCUUGGGCACUGGAAUUCUGUCACUAGCCCACAGACCUUGAGCGAGUGGCCUCACACCUCCCUAGGUCUCAUUUCCUCAUCUACAAAGAUGCCUGUCUUGAAGGCUUGCAUGAGGACCAAGUGAGAUCAUUCCUAAAAAAGGUUAGCACAGCACUUGGGGCACAGGAAAUGCCAAAAACCAAAAGAAACGCCAGAAGUUAACUUGUGAGGGUAGGACUUCAGGGCUCAUGUGGCAACACAGCAAAGACUAGAAGGAGUUCUGGAGCCGAACAAGCCUGGAUCCGAUGCUGAGCCACCGACUCGCUGGGUGAUUUUGGACACGUCACUCCCAUCUCUGAGCCACCCUCCUCGUCUUUGUAGCAGGUUUCACCAGACUUUCUGCAGAGGGCAGAGUGAGGACUGACCAGGAUGAACGGCCCUUGGUGGGCACCCAGGAAUGGAAGCUACAAUCACCAUUGUGAUAGGUCUUUCAUUCCCAAAAUGGAUGCCUGUAAGGGAGCGUCCUUAAGGGACUCGCUCAGGACACUCCCAGGACUUCUGGUUCCCUGCCAGGAUGGAGGGGGAGCCUGCGGGAGGAGGAGGUCUUCACACGAGGAUCAGUGCCCUAGGAUCAAGGGCCACAGCUCAGCUAAUAAUUUUUGUUCAAAGCCAGCAGGGCAAGCCAGGGCAGGCGAGCCCAGGGAAGGCAAGCAGGCGGAUUGGGGUCACUGCACACCCACAGGCUGGGCUCUGCCUGCUCUUCGCACGCCUUUGGGCUGCGCACACCUGCGGUCACCGCUGCUAUGCAGCUUCCAUCCUGUGGGAGGCUACUGAGGCUCAGAGGUGAAGGUGUCUUCCCGAGCUUACCCAGCUCAUGUGAGUGGGUGCAGAGUGAUAGCCAAGUCUGUCUUCAGAGCUGCAGCCUUGACCGCUACCCACUUCCCUGAGGAACUUUUCUGCAACUCCCGUCUUUACUCCUCACCGUCUGAAGGACUGAAGCUAAACUCCCUAACCUGCUAUUCAAGGCUCUCUCCAGCCCACACUGGGUCCCUCUGCCUUGAAUGCCUCACUGAGACCUACUCCUCCAUAAUCAUCAAAGUCCAGUCUGAGGCCUCCUUGACACCUUCCCCAUUCCCCAACACACAAGCCUUUUCAGCUGCUCCAUCUGGAGCACCCUGUACCCCUGCAUCUCUCUGGACCUUUGCCCAUAUUGCUCCUUCCCUUCCAUGCAGCAGAAUCCACCUCUCAUCCUUUUAGGCCUAGCCAAACUCCACCUUUUCCAGGACAUCAUCUGGAUAGCUUGGGACACACUGAUGCUCUUCUCUGUGUGUGUAGCACACUGUGAAUGUAGCUCCUGGCACCACUGAAAUAGGGAUACUCCCAGUUUUCUGGAAAGAAUCUCAUAUUUGAUAUUUAAAAUUAAACAUCGUAG
rnacentral:lncRNA from 10 species